rnacentral:rRNA from 1 species
AAAAAAGGUAAGCUACUAAGAGCGAAUGGUGGAUGCCUUGACUGGUAAAGGCGAUGAAGGACGUACUAGACUGCGAUAAGCUACGGGGAGCUGUCAAGAAGCUUUGAUCCGUAGAUUUCCGAAUGGGGCAACCCAAUGUAUAGAGAUAUACAUUACCUAUAUAGGAGCGAACGAGGGGAAUUGAAACAUCUUAGUACCCUCAGGAAAAGAAAUCAAUAGAGAUUGCGUCAGUAGCGGCGAGCGAAAGCGCAAGAGGGCAAACCCAGUGCUUGCACUGGGGGUUGUAGGACUGCAAUGUGCAAGAGCUGAGUUUAGCAGAACAUUCUGGAAAGUAUAGCCAUAGAGGGUGAUAGUCCCGUAUGCGAAAAACAAAGCUUAGCUAGCAGUAUCCUGAGUAGGGCGGGACACGAGGAAUCCUGUCUGAAUCCGGGUCGACCACGAUCCAACCCUAAAUACUAAUACCAGAUCGAUAGUGCACAAGUACCGUGAGGGAAAGGUGAAAAGAACUGAGGUGAUCAGAGUGAAAUAGAACCUGAAACCAUUUGCUUACAAUCAUUCAGAGCACUAUGUAGCAAUACAGUGUGAUGGACUGCCUUUUGCAUAAUGAGCCUGCGAGUUGUGGUGUCUGGCAAGGUUAAGCAAACGCGAAGCCGUAGCGAAAGCGAGUCUGAAUAGGGCGCUUAGUCAGAUGCUGCAGACCCGAAACGAAGUGAUCUAUCCAUGAGCAAGUUGAAGCUAGUGUAAGAACUAGUGGAGGACUGAACCCAUAGGCGUUGAAAAGCCCCGGGAUGACUUGUGGAUAGGGGUGAAAGGCCAAUCAAACUUCGUGAUAGCUGGUUCUCUCCGAAAUAUAUUUAGGUAUAGCGUUGUGUCGUAAUAUAAGGGGGUAGAGCACUGAAUGGGCUAGGGCAUACACCAAUGUACCAAACCCUAUCAAACUCCGAAUACCUUAUAUGUAAUCACAGCAGUCAGGCGGCGAGUGAUAAAAUCCGUCGUCAAGAGGGAAACAACCCAGACUACCAGCUAAGGUCCCUAAGUCUUACUUAAGUGGAAAACGAUGUGAAGUUACUUAAACAACCAGGAGGUUGGCUUAGAAGCAGCCAUCCUUUAAAGAAAGCGUAAUAGCUCACUGGUCUAGUGAUUUUGCGCGGAAAAUAUAACGGGGCUAAAGUAAGUACCGAAGCUGUAGACUUGCGCACAACUUAGAUUAUUUAAGUUUAGAAUAUGAGAAACUAAGUUAUAUUUUUACUGAUUUUUAUAGAGUAAAGAUAGAAAUAAAACUUAGUAAAAUCAGUAAAAAUAUUCUUAGGCUAAAGUUAAGUAGUUUAAGUUGUGUGCAAGUGGUAGGAGAGCGUUCUAUUUGCGUCGAAGGUAUACCGGUAAGGAGUGCUGGAGCGAAUAGAAGUGAGCAUGCAGGCAUGAGUAGCGAUAAUUAAUGUGAGAAUCAUUAACGCCGUAAACCCAAGGUUUCCUACGCGAUGCUCGUCAUCGUAGGGUUAGUCGGGUCCUAAGUCGAGUCCGAAAGGGGUAGACGAUGGCAAAUUGGUUAAUAUUCCAAUACCAACAUUAGUGUGCGAUGGAAGGACGCUUAGGGCUAAGGGGGCUAGCGGAUGGAAGUGCUAGUCUAAGGUCGUAGGAGGUUAUACAGGCAAAUCCGUAUAACAAUACUCCGAGAACUGAAAGGCUUUUUGAAGUCUUCGGAUGGAUAGAAGAACCCCUGAUGCCGUCGAGCCAAGAAAAGUUUCUAAGUUUAGCUAAUGUUGCCCGUACCGUAAACCGACACAGGUGGGUGGGAUGAGUAUUCUAAGGCGCGUGGAAGAACUCUCUUUAAGGAACUCUGCAAAAUAGCACCGUAUCUUCGGUAUAAGGUGUGGUUAGCUUCGUACUAGGAUUUACUCCGAAAGCGAAGAAACUUACAACAAAGAGUCCCUCCCGACUGUUUACCAAAAACACAGCACUCUGCUAACUCGUAAGAGGAUGUAUAGGGUGUGACGCCUGCCCGGUGCUCGAAGGUUAAUUGAUGGGGUUAGCAUUAGCGAAGCUCUUGAUCGAAGCCCGAGUAAACGGCGGCCGUAACUAUAACGGUCCUAAGGUAGCGAAAUUCCUUGUCGGUUAAAUACCGACCUGCAUGAAUGGCGUAACGAGAUGGGAGCUGUCUCAAAGAGGGAUCCAGUGAAAUUGUAGUGGAGGUGAAAAUUCCUCCUACCCGCGGCAAGACGGAAAGACCCCGUGGACCUUUACUACAGCUUGACACUGCUACUUGGAUAAGAAUGUGCAGGAUAGGUGGGAGGCUUUGAGUAUAUGACGCCAGUUGUAUAUGAGCCAUUGUUGAGAUACCACUCUUUCUUAUUUGGGUAGCUAACCAGCUUGAGUUAUCCUCAAGUGGGACAAUGUCUGGUGGGUAGUUUGACUGGGGCGGUCGCCUCCCAAAUAAUAACGGAGGCUUACAAAGGUUGGCU